rnacentral:rRNA from 1 species
UACGGAGGGUGCAAGCGUUAUCCGGAUUCACUGGGUUUAAAGGGUGCGUAGGCGGAUAGGUAAGUCAGGGGUGAAAUCUUUGGGCUCAACCCGGAAACUGCCUUUGAUACUAUCUAUCUUGAAUAUUGUGGAGGUUUGCGGAAUAUGUCAUGUAGCGGUGAAAUGCUUAGAUAUGACAUAGAACACCUAUUGCGAAGGCAGCAAACUACGCAUAUAUUGACGCUGAGGCACGAAAGCGUGGGGAUCAAACAGG